rnacentral:rRNA from 1 species
AACGCGAAGAACCUUACCAACACUUGACAUGUUCGUCGCGACUCUAAGAGAUUAGAGUUUUCGGUUCGGCCGGACGAAACACAGGUGCUGCAUGGCUGUCGUCAGCUCGUGUCGUGAGAUGUUGGGUUAAGUCCCGCAACGAGCGCAACCCUCACUUUUAGUUGCCAUCAUUAAGUUGGGCACUCUGAAAGAACUGCCAGUGAUAAGCUGGAGGAAGGUGGGGAUGACGUCAAGUCCUCAUGGCCCUUACGUGUUGGGCUACACACGUGCUACAAUGGUAUCUACAACAGGAAGCAAGACGGCGACGUUAAGCAAAUCCUUAAAAGAUACCUCAGUUCGGAUUGCACUCUGCAACUCGAGUGCAUGAAGCUGGAAUUACUAGUAAUCGUGGAUCAGCGUGCCACGGUGAAUGCGUUCCCGGGUCUUGUACACACCG